rnacentral:rRNA from 1 species
AAGACCCCUGAAAGACGAUCAGGUAGAUAGGUUCGAGGUGGAAGUGCGGUGACGUAUGCAGCUGACGAAUACUAAUCGGUCGAGGACUUAACCACAUUU